rnacentral:lncRNA from 1 species
UUGUUCUUUGCACAAGCCAAGACAUCAUAGUAAUCCACAUAGUUGAGGCAGUCACGAAAAUCAGUGAAAAGCUUUUCAAACACCUUCCAUUGGACUUUGAUUGAUCUUGAGUAUGGAUAUGGAAGAAAAACCUGCCCAAAAUGAUAUAGCAGCAUGUAAACCAUGAGCACUGGAAAAGAAAAAUAAUAAUGACAUGUUGCAAGGGUAAUAUAAAUAGAAAAGAGAUCUUACAUCCCCCUCUUGUGCAAGACGUUUAAGUAUUUGAAAAGUGUGCUCGGUUUCCUCUAAAUUGUCGAGAACAGCCAACCAUAUCUGGGAAGCAAGCUCAUGAGCCAUAUCUCUCGAUUUACCACAAGCGAUAAACUGAUCU